rnacentral:lncRNA from 1 species
AACCUCAAAGAUGAGACUAUUCUUAGACAGCCAAAUUUGAUAGACAAUGUACACCAAUCGACAGGCUCUAGACGGCCCCUCACCUGCACUCCAAUGGAUAGCAUCUAGAAAGGGAGGGAGCCAAGGGCCACUGCUCGCUCCCUACAGCUAGCCACCUGCCAUCCUCCAAAUAAGAUUAGCUCUCGAGUAGCGAAGGAGUGCAUGCUCCGUGGACUCCUCCUCCAAGCCGCAAACCAAGCAAGUAGUCGGAACCUCCAUACCUCUGCCUCUGAGAAGAAUGCGUAUCAAAAGCCUGUCCUAAGUGACCUUUCAAAGGAAGAGUCUAACCCUGGGAUGAGCAUCAACUCUCCAAAUACAUGCCGCAUCAAUUCUCC